ensembl:lncRNA
GUAAGGAGUCAAAGGCAGCAAAGAGCUGUUUGUGUGUUUUUGGAGUGGAUCACUGCGGCUUUAUUCACGUGUCCUCUCUACAGAAGCUCACUGGCUGUUGGGAGGACCCGGACAUUUCCCUCUGGGUUGUUUGGCUCUGUUGGAACUUUGAGGAAGAAUAAAUCUUAUAAAAGCUGAUCUCUAAUAAUUCUCUGUAAUGUUCAGUAUAUGUGUGCGUGCUGUGAUUGGUGUUUUCCCUGUGAGUGUUUGAUAUGACACCUGUAGCUUUAGCUCACCUUGAAAACAGAGGUUAUGUUUUUGGUAGCGUGUGUGUGCGUGUCGUUCUGUGUGUGAACACGAGAGCUCGAAUAGUUGUGAAUGAACUCUGAUCAAACUUUGUAGGGGUGUAGAGCGGGCUCAUGUUAACAAUCUAUUCACAUCUGGCUCACAUCCACCCAAGUCUUCAAGGUCGACUUCAUGAUUUAUUGAUGCAAACUGAGAAAAAGCCUCAAACUUAGAAACUAGGAUUGUAACAAGUGUGCUGUGGAUCAUCAACAUGUAGAAAGGAGCACAUGAAGAUUUCAAAUAUCAGCUCACAUCUGACCUCUGACCUCACUUUCAAGGUCAACAGAUGGAUCUGAAGGUCAAAGUGAUAAUAAUGCUCUUUAGAGCCAUUUUGGAGCUCUGAGCUCUUUUUCAAGGUCAAAUAAGGUCAAACUUCCAUCAAAUGUCUCAUGUUUCAAACUCUGUUUAUAAUUCUAUUGUCUUUGUUUCUAAUGGAACAUUGACUUUAUUAAACAAUGAAAUAGUGACAUGUUCUACAUCCACAUCAAUCACAAUCAUAGAAAAUGUCAAAUAAAUGUGCUUGUGUUGUGUCCAUGAUGAUGUUAACAAACAAACUGUGACAGAGCCUCAGACGUGAUGAAGAAGCUGAAUCAGCAGAAAGAGCAGAGCAGGAAGCAGCAUCAUCCACACAGGUGUGUCUCAGGUGAAUGUUUCCAGUCAAUAUGUCUGCUGUGUGUCUCUCAGCACUUGCACUAAAUCUUGCCGUGUGUCUGUGAUACUGCGUGAUGCUAACAGACUGUAACGUCAGU